rnacentral:tRNA from 1 species
ACCUGGGUGGCUCGGUCGGUUGAGCGUCUGACUUCAGCUCAGGUCAUGAUCUCACAGUUCGUGGGUUCGAGCCCCACAUCAGGCU